rnacentral:rRNA from 1 species
UACGUAGGGUCCGAGCGUUGUCCGGAAUUACUGGGCGUAAAGAGCUCGUAGGUGGUUUGUCGCGUUGUCCGUGAAAACUCACAGCUCAACUGUGGGCGUGCGGGCGAUACGGGCAGACUGGAGUACUGCAGGGGAGACUGGAAUUCCUGGUGUAGCGGUGGAAUGCGCAGAUAUCAGGAGGAACACCCGUGGCGAAGGCGGCUCUCUGGGACGGUACUGACGCUGAGACGCGAAAGCGUGGGGAGCGAACAGG